GAUAACAGAUGGUGAACCAAAUGGAAGGAAAAAAGGCGUUGAAUUAAAGGACGCUUACAAAUAUUCAAGAUCAAUGAAAGACAAAGGCAUUCUUAUUGUUGGUGUUGCUGUUGGCUGGCCAUCUAUGGUGAAAGAGAUUAAGCCAGUCAUUAAAAAAAUAUCAACUUCAGAAAAGACAACUUUUGACACAGAAGUUGAUUCUCUGAACGAAAUACUGAACAAAAUUGUUGAUCCCUUCUGUACUACUUUUAUACCAGGUUUGUAUCAAUUUACAGUUUUGUUGUUGUUGAAGUCUUAUCGUCAUUAAAUGAAGUCAUCAAAUGA